AACCACACCAUCAGGGGUCUCUAAAAGCUCCCAGCUCACAGGGAAGAUCCAAAGAAUAGGCAAAUGUGUUCAGUUAUAAGUGGUAAGGCAGGGACACCUAAACCAGGCACCUAUCCAGGCUGCAACUUAAGAAAGUGGUGUCUGAGCAGACAUUGAAGUGAAAGUGAAGUCGCUCAGUCGUGUCUGACUCUGCAACCCUGUGGGUUAUAGCCUACCAUGCUCCUCCGUCCAUGGGAUUUUCCAGGCAAGAGUACUGGAAAACGGCAUGCCAGAUUCUUCCACUGUUACUCUUCUCCAUGAUAUGCUGGCAAAAGAUUGGGACAAGACCAGUAAAGCAGGAGAGUCGAGCAUCUUUCUCUGCUUGUUCUGGGAAGUGCAUGAUAUCCUUGGCCUCUACCCAGCCUGAGGCUCACCAGAUCUGACCAAGUCUGGAAUUUCUUCCCCAGCACUUUGUCUCUACUGCUAUGUCUGGUUCCUCCCUUUCUUCAGAUGAGUCUCUCUUCCCUGAAGUCACCCACGCCCUUGGAUUGGACUGCAUGGAAAUGUUUUAUUUCCCAAUGAUUCCCAGCCAACAUUUACCUAGUGAUGCCUCAUUACCAUUUAGAGAACAACCUUCAUGAUGUGCAUCAGGAAUCAUCGGUUAUUCUCUCCCUUCAGGAAAAAGAGGCAUUUAAUAUAUUAGUCUUUUCCAGAGUUUGGCUCCAUCUCUGAUCAAAAGCUCUUGAAACAGAUGCACUUAAGAAAUGUUUGCAUACAUUCCUAGUAAUUAAAGCUCAUUUAACUGGUCAGGGAGUUGACUCUCAUCUGGGACAAAGAUGGCUUCAAGAUACCAACAAUAACUUCCUUCACCCUCAGAAAUAAAAUAAAAUCCUUUACCUUUCCUUUAGAGGAAAACUAAAGGUUGCCUCUGAACAUCAUUUCCAUCACAGUUGAACCCCAGAACAGACUUCAUUCUGACUGAAGUAGUAUUGGCUCCAUCUUGCCCAUUAGAGUUCUUUGAAGGAAGGGUUACUUGGCAGUAACCUUCAGAAUCUCACUCAGAAAUAGGAUUCUGAAAAAUUUAGGAAAAGUAAUAUGUAUUACUAUCUUUGGGGAAGAUGGCAAAGGUCAUGAGGAAGGAGGCUCGGCAUACGCAAAGGCGGGAUCAAGCCUCAGGAGUCCCCCUGGAAAUUCUUGAGCAUCUACCCCCAAAA
ensembl:lncRNA